rnacentral:rRNA from 1 species
AAUAGAUACCCAGGUAGUCCACGCCGUAAACGAUGAGUGCUAAGUGUUAGAGGGUUUCCGCCCUUUAGUGCUGCAGCUAACGCAUUAAGCACUCCGCCUGGGGAGUACGGCCGCAAGGCUGAAACUCAAAGGAAUUGACGGGGGCCCGCACAAGCGGUGGAGCAUGUGGUUUAAUUCGAAGCAACGCGAAGAACCUUACCAGGUCUUGACAUCCUCUGCCAACCCUAGAGAUAGGGCGUUCCCCUUCGGGGGACAGAGUGGCAGGUGGUGCAUGGUUGUCGUCAGCUCGUGUCGUGAGAUGUUGGGUUAAGUCCCGCAACGAGCGCAACCCUUGAUCUUAGUUGCCAGCAUUCAGUUGGGCACUCUAAGGUGACUGCCGGUGACAAACCGGAGGAAGGUGGGGAUGACGUCAAAUCAUCAUGCCCCUUAUGACCUGGGCUACACACGUGCUACAAUGGAUGGUACAAAGAGCUGCGAACCCGCGAGGGUAAGCGAAUCUCAUAAAGCCAUUCUCAGUUCGGAUUGU